CAUGCAAGUCGAGCGGAACUAAUGGAGAGCUUGCUCAAAAUUAGUUUAGCGGCGGACGGGUGAGUAACGUGUGGGUAACCUGCCCUAUACUUCGGAAUAAGCGUUGGAAACGACGUCUAAUACCGUAUGUCAUCACGAAAUCGCAUGAUUUUGUGAGAAAAGGAGCUUGCUUCGGUAUAGGAUGGACCCGCAUCUGAUUAGCUAGUUGGUGAGAUAACAGCUCACCAAGGCGACGAUCAGUAGCCGACCUGAGAGGGUGAUCGGCCACAUUGGGACUGAGACACGGCCCAAACUCCUACGGGAGGCAGCAGUGGGGAAUAUUGCACAAUGGGCGAAAGCCUGAUGCAGCAACGCCGCGUGAAGGAUGAAGGGUUUCGGCUCGUAAACUUCUAUCAACAGGGACGAAACAAAUGACGGUACCUGAAUAAGAAGCACCGGCUAAAUACGUGCCAGCAGCCGCGGUAAUACGUAUGGUGCAAGCGUUAUCCGGAAUUACUGGGUGUAAAGGGAGCGUAGGCGGUAUGAUAAGCCAGAUGUGAAAGCCCGAAGCUUAACUUCGUGGAUUGCAUUUGGAACUAUCAAACUAGAGUACAGGAGAGGCAAGUGGAAUUCCUAGUGUAGCGGUGAAAUGCGUAGAUAUUAGGAAGAACACCAGUGGCGAAGGCGACUUGCUGGACUGAAACUGACG
rnacentral:rRNA from 1 species